GAGUUUGAUCCUGGCUCAGGACGAACGCUGGCGGCACGCCUAACACAUGCAAGUCGAACGGAGAUAUUUUGGUUUACUGAGAUAUCUUAGUGGCGGACGGGUGAGUAACACGUGAGCAACCUGCCUCUGAGAGAGGGAUAGCUUCUGGAAACGGAUGGUAAUACCUCAUAACAUAACGAAGCCGCAUGACUUUGUUAUCAAAGAUUUAUCACUCAGAGAUGGGCUCGCGUCUGAUUAGAUAGUUGGUGAGGUAACGGCUCACCAAGUCGACGAUCAGUAGCCGGACUGAGAGGUUGAACGGCCACAUUGGGACUGAGACACGGCCCAGACUCCUACGGGAGGCAGCAGUGGGGAAUAUUGCACAAUGGGGGAAACCCUGAUGCAGCGAUGCCGCGUGGAGGAAGAAGGUUUUCGGAUUGUAAACUCCUGUCUUAAAGGACGAUAAUGACGGUACUUUAGGAGGAAGCUCCGGCUAACUACGUGCCAGCAGCCGCGGUAAUACGUAGGGAGCGAGCGUUGUCCGGAAUUACUGGGUGUAAAGGGAGCGUAUGCGGGAUGGCAAGUCAGAUGUGAAWACUAUGGGCUCAACCCAUAGACUGCUUUGAAACUGUUGCUCUUGAGUGAAGUAGAKGUAAGCGKAAWUCCUGGUGUAYGGUGAAU
rnacentral:rRNA from 1 species